CCGACGUCGGGGGGUGUCGGAGCGACCGCGCGCGCGGCGUGGAAUGCCGCCGGACGGCUCCGUGCAGUCGGCCCGGGAGAACAAAAGUUGCGUCGGCCCCCGAGCGGUGCUUUUCCAAACGGCGCGUGUGGAGAAAGCUCUGCAGGGCAGCGCGAGCCCUCCGUGCCGCCCUCUUCAUUCACCCUUUCUGCUCCUCUGGAAAGCGGCGCCCCGAAGCGAUGCCGUUGUGAGAGCGGCCCGGCUUCCUGCUGGCGCUGCACCGGCUGUGGCUGCUCGCCCUGCCCGGGCGGGGGAGAGGGGUUGUGCCAUGCAGGAGGGUCCAGUUUGAUGUGUAUGUUCUGGCUUAGGGGAUCCGGGUGUGGGCUCCUUGACUCCACUCGCGUGCCACAACAACUACUCCCAAGCUUUGCUGGCUUGGGCACUGACAGCAGCAUCCCUCCAGCAUUUCAGAAAUGGGUAGAAAACAGGUUUUGUUAAGCGUUGGUAUGGUCGGAUCUCCAGAACUGUCCUACCCGGGAAAACCUCCACAGCCUUCAGAAAUGGGGGCUGAGGCACCACACCCUACCCCAGCAGCCCACUCCGUCAGGCUGUGCCCUUGGCAGGGGAGAACACAAGGCAGCAACCAGGCAUUGCUCCACGGCUGCUCCCCCCCAUUGCCUGCUUCUUCCCAGCAGCGACUCAACGCGUGGCAUAACCGACAGCUCUCCUCCCCGAUGGGCUUUUAAUUACAUUACAGAGUUACCCGAGCAUCACACUGGCAGGUCAUUAACUUGCAUAUGAAUUUAAUUUAAUCAUAAACAACUCAUCUCACUCCUCGGCUGCUCCUUAAACGUGGCUUUUUUAUGCUGCUAACUUUGCUAUUGCUGCUACAGAGAGCCAUGGAGGUGCAGACAACAGAUGUUAACCUGCAAGGUGAGGGGAAUUCAGUGAGACGUGGAGUUAGAAAUGCUACAUCUGCUGCUGUCCCUCCUGCUUUGGGUGCCUCUUUGCUGUGUUCAGCAGCGACUGCAGCAUGUGAGGUGGCUGCAGAGUGAUGGUGCUGGGCAUGCGGUCAUCUGCAUGCACAGCUGGCCUCCUGCAUUCCGCUAAUUUGAUUUAACGGAGCAAACAGACUGACCCGACAUCCCUCACACACUGAGAACAACACGGCCAGGCUGAUAGCUCUGCUGCUCGCUCCAUCUGUACGUUGACACAGAGGCCAUCACCUACACACCUUGGACUCACUGCUAUGGACCCCGGGAUCAGUCUGCACAUGCCUGGGAAUGUCAGUGAGUGUAAGCAGCAGUGUGAAACCACGCGUACACUGAGCUGUUUCCGCUGCUUUCAGCAUCAGAACAAGUCAGGCCCUUCAGUGCCCUGCGUGCUGGCUUACCCCACCUUUCAUGCUGGCCCUGCAGCUGCUGGUGGGAAGCCACAAGAGACAGCAAUCAGCCCCCAGUGACCCAGAGAGGGAAACUUGAGCCCAGAGAGACGUGGCCGGGGCUCUGCCUGGGAAGCUUUGCUCUCACCAAUCUGUUCUGUGCACAGAGCCUUCAAGCAUUCCUCUGCUGCUGACUUCAGUUCCUGAAUGCUACAACAUCCCCAUGUGGAGGUGUGUGAGACUGAAAGCAAAAGGGGAAUGCAUGAACAAGCUCUCAUGGCACCUCGGAUCCACCUGCAUCCAUGCUCAGGAGCACACAGUGCUUUUCUGCCUUUCCACUUCCAGCACCUCUCUGGACUGCUCUGGAUGUGCCCCAUAGCAAACGCUGCAGUCUGUCAGGGCCGUUCAUCUACAUCUGCUGUAAAUCACACGUAGGAAACAGGCAGUUUGUUAUGCACAGGAGGUUCUUCUAUCUGUAUCUUCCAGUGCAAACCCACUCCAGGCUGCAGACGCUGGCAGAGAGCCAUGCAGCCACACAAAAAUCAAUCAGAAGCACUUAAGUAUCAGUACUGCUUCCCCAGCGCUGCAGUCUGCUCAGAGGGGGCUGAGGUGACCCCACUGCAUCAGACCCCAACACACCAACAGCGGUUGCAAUUCCACUGCAUCCAGCACUAGGAAUGAGCAGAGGUUAGAGACGAUCAGGUGGCUCCUAUGCUUAAUUAACAGCCUCGAGGAGAGCAGUAGAGAAGACAGAGCGUGGCUUUGUGUGCUGACCUACCGUGUCCCACAGAAGGCAUGCAAAGAAGCUGCAGGGCUGUGGUUCUGCUGCUCCUCAGGUGUGGAUCAAGGAAAUGGUGAUGGCCCUGGAGCCCCACGCCUAGCACACAUCUCAGGAGAGCUCAUCACCACCUGGAGCCAGCAUCUCAAUCCAAGAGGACAGACGACUUCUGAAAAUCCAGCCCUCAGCUCAGGUGUGCAGAGGGGUUUCUGUAUGGCUGUAGCAGGCUCCAGCUGCUGGGCACAGUGCGAGGGGCAGAACACACGGAGAUCACACCGCCCUGCAGAGAGAUCAGCAUCCUAUCGCCUCUGCUUGCCUUCUCCACGUAAGAACUGUGCGUAAGCGGACUGCCGGCGUCGAAACGCUGCAGCACCGAGGAAAAGCAGAGACGGGCCGGAGCUGUGCCACGGGGCACGACCCGCUGAGCGGAGCUAUCGCGCAGCUCCGGCCGCUCCAGCUGCCACCUGCC
ensembl:lncRNA